AACUCAGACUCCUACGAGGCUCUGGCAGCCUCAAGAUCCGUGGUCUUCAACCCUUGCUGCAUAUUAGAAUCACCUAGGACUAUUUCAAAGAUUAUCAGAGGUUGAGUUUCACACCUAAACAUUCUGAUUUAAUUGCUCUCGGAUGGACCUGGGGCACUGAUAUUUUUGAUAUAUUCCUUGGUAGAUUCUAAAGUACAGCCAGGAUUGAGGUCCCUGAUUUAGACCUUGCCUAUUAACUCCAUGCUUACCUAGCACCCACAUGGUCACUAUGCUUUAAUCAUAUUGAUUUCUUAAUUCCUCAAAAUGUGCCAAACUCUUUGCUGCUUCUGAACCUUUGUAGAUGUGAUUCCUUCUGCCUGGGAGGCUCUUGCCUUUGCUUGCCAUAGGUCUGCUUGUUCUUAUCUCUAAGACUCAGUUUAAGUGUCUCCUGUCCAGAGAAGCCUCCUCUAACUACUUAAUCUAAAAUUGUCCCCCAUGUCAUUCUCUGUUGCAAUUUCCUAAUUUCUUUCUUGAUACUUGCUGCCACUUAAAAAUGAUAUGUUUGUCUUUUAAAAUCUUUAUCUCAUACUAGAUUGUUGUCUGCAGAAGAGCAGUUUAUAAUCUAUGUUUUGUAGGGUACCCCUCUUACAAUCAGAGCCUCACACAUAGUAGGUAUGUCAAGAAUUGUGAAGGAGUCUGAAAUUUACUGUAUUUGUAAGUUAACAAGUUAGCUUGCUACCAUUUCACGGAUGCUGGCAGAAGACAAAAGACUUCUAGGUCAGAGACAAAGGGCCACUGCUGUUUCUGUGAGUAAUGAAGAAGUCUGAGUAGC
rnacentral:lncRNA from 1 species